UGGGGAAUAUUGCACAAUGGGCGAAAGCCUGAUGCAGCAACGCCGCGUGAGUGAUGAAGGUCUUCGGAUUGUAAAGCUCUGUCUUUUGGGACGAUAAUGACGGUACCAAAGGAGGAAGCCACGGCUAACUACGUGCCAGCAGCCGCGGUAAUACGUAGGUGGCGAGCGUUGUCCGGAUUUACUGGGCGUAAAGGGUGCGUAGGCGGAUGUUUAAGUGAGAUGUGAAAUACCCGGGCUUAACUUGGGUGCUGCAUUUCAAACUGGAUAUCUAGAGUGCAGGAGAGGAGAAUGGAAUUCCUAGUGUAGCGGUGAAAUGCGUAGAGAUUAGGAAGAACACCAGUGGCGAAGGCGAUUCUCUGGACUGUAACUGACGCUGAGGCACGAAAGCGUGGGUAGCAAACAGGAUUAGAUACCCUGGUAGUCCACGCCGUAAACGAUGAGUACUAGGUGUAGGAGGUAUCGACCCCUUCUGUGCCGCAGUAAAACACAUUAAGUACUCCGCCUGGGAAGUACGAUCGCAAGAUU
rnacentral:rRNA from 1 species